ACUCCUACGGGAGGCUGCAGCAAGGAAUUUUCCGCAAUGGGCGAAAGCCUGACGGAGCAACGCCGCGUGCGGGAUGGCGCUUUUCGGAGUGUAAACUGCUGUUCGUGGGGACGAAGCACUGACGGUACCCACGGAGGAAGGCCCGGCUAACUACGUGCCAGCAGCCGCGGUAAUACGUAGGGGUCGAGCGUUGUCCGGAAUUACUGGGCGUAAAGCGUGUGCAGGCGGCUCAUUGCGCCCGGCGUGAAAGCCCCCGGCUCAACCGGGGAGGGUCGUCGGGGACGGGUGAGCUUGAGGGUAUCAGGGGCAGGUAGAAUUCCCGGUGUAGUGGUGAAAUGCGUAGAGAUCGGGAGGAAUACCUGUGGCGAAGGCGGCCUGCUGGGAUACACCUGACGCUGAGACACGAAGGCGUGGGGAGCGAACGGGAUUAGAUACCCCGGUAGUCCACGCAGUAAACGAUGCAGACUAGGCGUGGGGGGACUUGACCCCUUCCGUGCCGGAGCUAACGCGGGAAGUCUGCCGCCUGGGGAGUACGGCCGCAAGGCUAAAACUCAAAGGAAUUGACGGGGGCCCGCACAAGCGGCGGAGCGUGCUCUUUAAUUCGUCGCAACGCGAAGAACCUUACCAGGGUUUGACAUGUUCCUGCAUGCCGGUGAAAGUCGGAGGCCUUCGAGGGUGGAACACAGGUGCUGCAUGGCUGUCGUCAGCUCGUGUCGUGAGAUGUUGGGUUAAGUCCCGCAACGAGCGCAACCCUCGUGUCCAGUUGUGAUUUUCUGGACAGACUGCCGGAAACAAACCGGAGGAAGGUGGGGAUGAUGUCAAGUCCGCAUGGCCCUUAUAUCCUGGGCGAGAAGCACGCUACAAUGGGCAGGACAGUGGGUUGCCAAGCGGUAACGUGGAGCUAAUCCCCCAAACCUGUUCUCAGUUCGGAUCGAGGGCUGCAACUCGCCCUCGUGAAGGUGGAGUCGCUAGUAACCGCAGGUCAGCAGUACUGCGGUGAAUAUGUUCCCGGGCCUUGUACACACCGCCCGU
rnacentral:rRNA from 1 species